rnacentral:lncRNA from 1 species
AAAUAUAUAUAUAUAUAUAUAUAUAUUCCGAUGGAGAGAAGAACCUAUGAUUAGCUUUUCGGGAAAUUUCCAAACGAACAAUUUCAACGAAAUCUUUCAAUUUCUUAUUUUACUAUGUUCAACUCUAUGUAUCCCUCUAUCCGUAGAGUACAUUGAAUGUACAGAAAUGGCUAUAACAGAGUGGCAAUUUACUUAAUCUUACAUAGUGA